rnacentral:rRNA from 1 species
GGUAGUCCACGCCCUAAACGAUGUCAACUAGCUGUUGGGGCCUUCGGGCCUUGGUAGCGCAGCUAACGCGUGAAGUUGACCACCUGGGGAGUACGGUCGCAAGAUUAAAACUCAAAGGAAUUGACGGGGACCCGCACAAGCGGUGGAUGAUGUGGAUUAAUUCGAUGCAACGCGAAAAACCUUACCUACCCUUGACAUGUCUGGAAUCCCAAAGAGAUUAGGGAGUGCUCGCAAGAGAACCGGAACACAGGUGCUGCAUGGCUGUCGUCAGCUCGUGUCGUGAGAUGUUGGGUUAAGUCCCGCAACGAGCGCAACCCUUGUCAUUAGUUGCUACGAAAGGGCACUCUAAUGAGACUGCCGGUGACAAACCGGAGGAAGGUGGGGAUGACGUCAAGUCCUCAUGGCCCUUAUGGGUAGGGCUUCACACGUCAUACAAUGGUCGGGACAGAGGGUCGCCAACCCGCGAGGGGGAGCCAAUCCCAGAAACCCGAUCGUAGUCCGGAUCGUAGUCUGCAACUCGACUACGUGAAGUCGGAAUCGCUAGUAAUCGCGGAUCAGAAUGUCGCGGUGAAUACGUUCCCGGGUCUUGUACACACCGCCCGUCACACCAUGGGAGUGGGUUCCACCAGAAGUAGUUAGCCUAACCGCAAGGAGGGCGAUUACCACGGUGGGGUUCAUGACUGGGGUGAAGUCGUAACAAGGUAGCCGUAUCGGAAGGUGC